ensembl:snoRNA
AAUCUUAACUUUGAUUGCAAUUAUCAAGAAUCAGUAUAGCCUGAAGAUGGAAGAGAAAGCAUAUCUCCCUCCCAAAGAAGAUGCUUUUUCGUGAGGCCACAGACUACACUAACAGG